AAAUUAAAUUUUAUUUACAGCGUGGUAACAGGCCCUUUCGGCCCAACGAGUCCACGCUGCCCAUUUUUCUUUUAAACCCCCAAAUUAACCUACCCGUACGUCUUUCAAAUGUGGGAGGAAACCGGAGCACUCGGAGGAAACCCACGCAGACACAGGAGAACGUACAAACUCCUUAGAGACAGCGACAGGAAUAGAAUCCGAUCGCUGGCGCUGUAAUAACGUCGCGCUAACCGCUACGCUACCAUGCUGCCACCAACUAGACCACUUGUCAGUAAAUCUGACCUUCAAUCAGUAAAACAGACCUUCAGUUGGUAAACCCAACCACACCUCACUGAAGCUGAUUACCUGUCAGUAAAUCUUACCAUCCUUCAGUAAAUCCAGUCUGUCCUUUGGUAAGACCAAACACCCUUUGGUAAACCCAACCAUUGAACGAGGAAAAUCCCUUUCGAUAUCAUAGUCACAUGCCCCAUCAGGAAUCUGUGGACAUGCAGUCCAGGGUCGCACCACAGUUCCCAUUUAUGAAAAUACAGUUCCUUUGGAUGGAAGGAAGAUGGCUGCACACAUAGCAGCCUCCUCGCCGAUGCC